rnacentral:tRNA from 1 species
GCCCCCAUCGUCUAGCGGCCUAGGACGUCGCCCUUUCAAGGCGGUAGCACGGGUUCGAAUCCCGUUGGGGGCAC